AAAAAGAGAAAGUGUGAGAGGGGCUAACUAAGACUGAAGGAAUAGGGAUGUCCUCCUAAGGCAGCAGAACUACAACUGCAGCUUGCAGGAGCUCCUGUUGUGGCUCAGUGGGUUAAGAACCUGACCAGUAUCCAUAAGGAUGCAGGUUCUAUCCCUGGCCUCACUCAGUGGGUUAAGAAUCCGGCAUUGCUACAAUCUGCAGUGCAGGUCGCAGAUGUGGCUCAGAUCCUGUAUUGUGGCUGUGGCACAGGCCUAAAGUUGCAGCUCCAAUUCAACCGCUAGCCUGAAAACUUCCAUAUGCGGCAGGUAUGGCCCUAAAAAGAAAAACAAAAAGCAAAAAACAAACAAACAAACAAAACCUGCAGCCUGCAAAUGACCACAAGUCAGCCAUUGGGAGGAUGGAGGAGGAGAGACUGUCAAGGACAGAAAAGAGGCUAAUGAAUCUGAAAGCUAAUGGGGCCAAUGGAUCAGGAGCAAGACGAAGGCAACUUAAGAUGAGGUGGGAGACAUGGUCACGUGCUGGGUCAUGGUGGGCUUUGCAAACUUUGUCAUAGGUUUGACUUAUUCUUUAAAGUAUAAAUGGGGACCAUGAAAGGGUGUUCAGAUCACAGUAAUAUUUUAUGAUUUAUACUUUUUAAAAGGCACUCUGACUUUUAUGUAAAUAAUUAAUUGGAGGGUCCAAGAGUGAGAUGAGGACUGUUGCUAGGUUUCCACAAUCAUCCAGGUGACAAACAAUGGUGGCGUAGAAUCAAAUAGUGACAACAGAGAGGGACACACUUGGGUGGAGCUAACUUUUAAUUGGGGGGUACAAUCAACAUCUAUUCAUCUCUUUGAACCUUUUAUUGUCCUUUUAACAAAGGAUCAAAUAGUAGUUCCUCAGCCAAUUCCAUAGGAUUUUGGUGAGGACCCAAUGAGACAGAAGUGUAAUUUUUUUAUGGAUGAAAUAUAUAUUAUUACUGUGUAUUGUGACUAUAGGCUAUCUACUUCCAGUUGGUUUAAAACCUCAACCUAUAAGAGAAAACCAGUCUAACCAAAGCAGAACAGUGGGAGACGUGUCCACACAUUUGUUAUUUUACUUGCCCAGGAACCUCACAGAAGUGGGAACAGAGAUGUCCAAAGGGCAUAUCUAGGCUCCACUCUACCUGGACCUACACCAUUCAAUGGAAUAAACAGGUCUAAAGGAGGCUUAGACAAGCUCUGAGGCCCCUAAAGCCCCACUAGCUACGGAGCCUCCAUCUAUAGUGCCCUAAAUUACAUCAUAAGGGCCCACAGGAGUUCUCUCAACACCUAAUUUACUGUUAGAGAGUGCCUUGAGCAAAAGUGACCCAUAAAGCUGCCAUGUAGCAUGACCAUUCCUUAAGAAUUUCAGAAACAAAAUAAUGCCUUAAGAGAUCAACUAACUCUGAGUAUGAAAUAUGUUUUCUGUGGCAUGAUACAGUUGUGUCUAUAUACAGAGCAAAACAUCACUUGAAAUGUGGACUCCUGAGUUCCCUGGUGGCUCAGAGGGUUAAGGACCUGGCAUUGUCACUGCUGUGGCACUGGUUCCAUCCCUGGCCCAGGAACUGCUGCAUGCCACAGAUGUAUAUAUAACAAAAUGUGGACUCCUCGGAGGAAAGAUUAAACCUUUCAAAGCCCAAAGAAUUCACAAAUUCACGUUUAUUUUGAAAAUGCAUUUCAUGCUUUUCUUGUAUUAGAAAACAGAGUAUGUUGGGUAUAAUUUGCUUAAUUUAAAAAAUUAUGUUGGUACAAUGUCAUUGUGCUUUUGAUAUUAUCCUUCUAGAUUUCAUUGGCUAAAUCAUCUGUCUUCUCAUAGGUAAAACAAGGCUCUUUAACUAACAGGGGUUUGCAAAGUCUCUGUGGUAAGGAAUCAAUUUUGGGGUUUUUCGUCUGUUUAAUUCUCAAAUGUCCAAUCAAUUCAGGCCAUUAAAUUGCCCUAGAGCAAGGGACUAGUAGCUCAUACUACGAGGUGCCUCGCCAGGUGAGUUUGAAACCACUGCAAUGGUUGAUACCCUGUUCAAGCACUGACCUGAAUGUCCCACAAAAUGGAACAGCCGUCAAAGUGUUACAGUGGUUCCUCUCAGUUUCAAUAUUUAUAUUCUCACGCAUGUGUAAUAAACAGUUCUAAAGCACUGAUCUGUAGGAAACAUCAGGUAUGGCCCAGAGCUAGAUGAUGCCUAAGAUCCAUCCGACCCAAAGGGUCUGGAAUGUAUGACCUUGAUGAGAAUCAUUUAUUUCACAGACACUUUAAUAGAGUUACUAAGAGAUGUUAGCUCCCUAAGAAACGUUGGGUCCCCUGUGGUUUCUGAGUGUGCUUUUCUAAGAUUCUUUUGAGUUCUCUUGAGGCCGUUGCUUGAGUCCAAAAAGAUCUGGUCUUCUGGGCUAUUCUAUUAGGAUUUCCUUCUUGUGGCCUCACACUUCUGUUCUUGCUUCUGCCCUCCGGGUUCACAACAGGUUUGACUGCUUCAACAUUGGCCACCAAUCCUACUUGCUGUCUCUGGCCCCGCUCUUGGCUCUUUGCCUGAUAUAAAACCUAGGUCUUAAGUUCUCUGGCCAACCCCAUUCCUUUCCUAUGAAAAUGCACAGGCUAUGAGACAAUUCUUCCUCUGGCUUAAAGACUGUGCCCCCUUAUCUCAUGCUAAUUUUAGCUUCACAAUUGUCUUGAAAGAUCCAAACUUCCAACAGCUAGAUAAAGGGUUCAUUAUUCUCACAUUUCUUUGAACAAUGAACAACCAAAAAAUCAGAUAAGAGAGCAAUUUCUGAACAGUCUUCUAAAUGUUAAAAUCUAAUUUUGAAAUUUGUUAAAAUGAUAAAAUAUUUUAAAAUAUUUCUCAACCUUCAAAGUGUUCAUCUUAGGAAGCAGCCACAUUUGCUUUUUUUUUUUUUUUAAAGAAAAUAGGGAGUUCCCGUCGUGGCGCAGUAGUUAACGAAUCCGACUAGGAACCAUGAGGUUGCGGGUUCAAUCCCUGUCCUUGCUCAGGGGUUAAGGAUCCAGGGUUACCGUGAGCUGUGGU
rnacentral:lncRNA from 1 species